GUAAGCAGAGUAAAAUUCGAAAACAAAACUGUGAACUCAAAAUCUUGAACUUUCAAUUGCCAACAGACAACAACAUUCAAUCUAAUAUAAAAAAAAAAAUCAAAUGAAAUGAAAAUCAAAAACCCAGAAAAAUCCCUCCAAGUAGGAUGUAUCAAUAGCCAAUUCAGCAGAUUCAGAAAUAGAAAUUGAGAACAAUGAUCCAAUAAAAAAACAAAAAAGACUUACCCAGACAUGUUUCCUAUUUGAAUGCGUUUAGGAUCAGAAAGAAAUCCGAUUUUUUUUUUUUUUUUUUGUUACCGAAAUUGGCUGUUUAAAGAAAUCCGAUUUAUCUGCGAGUAAAAGGGCCAAUGUUAGUUUCACAAGGCAAAGCUUAAAUCGAAAAAUAAGUGAGAGUCGGCGCGAAAGAAAAAUCUUCGCGAAAUUGAGUUUCGGAAUCAGAACUGUCGGAGAAGAGGAGUGAAGAGAACUAACCCUCAUAUGAGAAACAAUGGCUGGAAAGCCACUUUAGGGAAAAAAAAAGGCUGGAA
rnacentral:lncRNA from 1 species